GAUGAAGAACGUAGCGAAAUGCGAUAAGUAAUGUGAAUUGCAGAAUUCAGUGAAUCAUCGAAUCUUUGAACGCACCUUGCGCCCUUUGGCCAUUCCGAAGGGCAUGCCUGUUUGAGUAUCAUGAACACCUCAACUCUUUAUGGUUUUCCAUGAUGAGCUUGGACUCUGGGGGUUUUGCUGGCUCACAGUCGGCUCCUCUAAAAUGAAUCAGCUUACCAGUGUUUGGUGGGUAUCAUGGGUGUGAUAACUAUCUACGCUUGUGGUUUUUCCACCAGGUAACCUUCAGCAGUGGAGGUUCGCUGGAGCUCAUAGAUGUCUCUCCUCAGUGUGGACAGCCCUUUGAAUGUUUGAUCUCAAAUCAGGUAGGACUACCCGCUGAACUUAAGCAUAUCAAUAAGCGGAGGA
rnacentral:misc_RNA from 1 species